rnacentral:rRNA from 1 species
GGUAUUUUGACUAUACAAAGGUAUUGAAAUAAGACUUUAAUUGAGUGCUAAGAGAAUGGAAUUACAAAAAAUUUCUUUCUUAAAUUUAAAUAUUGAAGUUAUUUUUAUUUGUGAAGAAACAAUAAUAAUAAUUAAGGACAAGAAGACCCUAAGAAUUUUCAAAAAUGGUAAUCAAUUUUUGAAUUACUAUUUUUUUAAUUGGGGCGAUUAAUAAAUAUUAAAAACUUUAUUUUUAUUUAAAAUGAACCAAUAUUAGUGGCAAAAUGAAAAAAAUACUCUAGGGAUAACAGCGUAAUAAUUUUUGAUAGUUCUUAUAGACAAAAUAGUUUGCGACCUCGAUGUUGGAUUAGGAUACUUUUUUAAUGAAGAAGU